rnacentral:rRNA from 1 species
AGUUUGAUCCUGGCUCAGAUUGAACGCUGGCGGGAUGCUUUACACAUGCAAGUCGAACGGCAGCACGGACUUCGGUCUGGUGGCGAGUGGCGAACGGUGAGUAAUGGCCGGAACGUGCCUAGUAGCGGGGAUAACUACGCGAAAGCGUAGCUAAUACCGCAUACCGCCCUUCGGGGGAAAGCGGGGACUCGCCUCUCGCACUAUUAGAGCGGCCGAUAUCGGAUGAAUAGUUGGUGGGGUAACGGCUCAUCAUGGCGACGAUCCGUAGCUGGUUUGAGAGGACGACCAGCCACACUGGGACUGAGACACGGCCCAGACUCCUACGGGAGGCAGAACGGGGAAUUUUGGACAAUGGGGAAACCCCGAUCCAGCCAUCCCGCGGUGAAGAAGGCCUUCGGGUUGUAAAAGCACUUUGGCAGGAAGAAACGGCACGGGAUAAUACCCCGUGCAACUGACGGUACCUGUGAAUAAGCACCGGCUAACUACGUGCCAGCAGCCGCGGCGAAUAUUGUGUAGGUGUGAAGGCACCUGGAAUUAAUAAGUAAAGCGCAGGCGGUUCGGAAAGAAAGAUGUGAAAUCCCAGAGCUUAACUUUGGAAACUUGCAUUUUUAACUUAUCGAGCUAGAGUGUCAGAGGGAGGUGGAAUUCGCGUGUAGCAGUGAAAUGCGUAGAUAUGCGGAGGAACACCGAUGGUGAAGGCAGCCUCCUGGGAUAACACUGACGCUCAUGCACGAAAGCGUGGGGAGCAAACAGGAUUAGAUACCCUGGUAGUCCACGCCCUAAACGAUGUCAGAAUUAGUUGUUAGCCCCGGGCCUUGGUAGCGCAGCUAACGCGGGUGAAACAGCCGCCUGGGGAGUGUCGGUCGCAAGAUUAAAAACUCAAAGGAAUUGACGGGGACCUGCACAAGCGGUGGAUGAUGUGGAUUAAUUCGAUGCAACGCGAAAACCUUUACCUACCCUGACAUGGCCUGGAAUCCCGAAGAGAUUUGGGAGUGCUCGCAAGAGAACCGGAACACAGGUGUUGCAUGGCUGUCGUCAGCCAAAGUCGUGAGAUGCUGGGUUAAGUCCUGCAACGAGCGCAACCCUUGUCAUUAGUUGCUACGAAAGGGCACUCUAAUGAGACUGCCGGUGACAACCGGAGGAAGGUGGGGAUGACGUCAAGUCCUCAGCGGCCCUUAUGGUAGGGCCACACGUCAUACAAUGGUCGGGACAGAGUGGUCGCCAACCCGCGAGGGGAGCCAAUCCCAGAAACCCGAUCAGUCCGGAUCGGUAGUCUGCAACUCGACUGCGUGAAGUCAAAUCGCUAGUAAUCGCGGAUCAGCAUGUCGCGGAAUACGUUCCCGGGUCUUUAGUAAGCACACUGCCCGUCACACCAUGGGAGUGGGUUUUACCAGAAGUAGUUAGCCUAACCGUAAGGAGGGCGAUUACCACGGUAGGAUUCAUGACUGGGGUGAAGCUGUACCAAGGUAA